rnacentral:rRNA from 1 species
CCUACGGGGUGCAGCAGUGAGGAAUAUUGGUCAAUGGGCGCGAGCCUGAACCAGCCAAGUCGCGUGAAGGAUGACUGCCCUACGGGUUGUAAACUUCUUUUUUAAAGGAAUAAAGUGAGGCACGUGUGCCUUUUUGUAUGUACUUUAAGAAUAAGGAACGGCUAAAUCCGUGCCAGCAGCCGCGGUAAUACGGAGGAUGCGAGCGUUAUCCGGUUUUAUUGGGUUUAAAGGGAGCGUAGUGGGGUUGUUAAGUUAGUUGUGAAAGUUUCGGGCUCAACCGUAAAGUUGCAAUUGAAACUGGCAGUCUUGAGUACAGUUGAGGUAGGCGGAAUUCGUGGUGUAGCGGUGAAAUGCUUAGAUAUCACGAAGAACUCCGAUUGCGAAGGCAGCUUACUAGACUGCCACUGACAUUGAGGCUCGAAAGCGUGGGUAUCAAACAGGAUUAGAUACCCCAGUAGUC